rnacentral:rRNA from 1 species
UACGUAGGGGGCAAGCGUUAUCCAGAUUUACUGGGCGUAAAGAGCUCGUAGGUGGUUUGUCGCGUUGUCCGUGAAAACUCACAACUCAAUUGUGGGCGUGCGGGCGAUACGGGCAGACUGGAGUACUGCAGGGGAGACUGGAAUUCCUGGUGUAGCGGUGGAAUGCGCAGAUAUCAGGAGGAACACCGGUGGCGAAGGCGGGUCUCUGGGCAGUAACUGACGCUGAGGAGCGAAAGCGUGGGGAGCGAACAGG